CAACUACUGCCUCUAUCCCAAAAUUCUUGUCUUAGAUUUUUUCUAGAUAUAGAUGUAUCUAAUACUAAAAUGUGACUUGAUACAUCUGUAUCUAGACAAAUCUAAGACAAGAAUUUUGGGACGGAGGGAGUACUUU
rfam:Triticum aestivum genome assembly, contig: Triticum_aestivum_CS42_TGACv1_scaffold_129724_2BL